UUGGAGGGCAAGUCUGGUGCCAGCAGCUGCGGUAAUUCCAGCUCCAAUAGCGUAUAUUAAAGUUGUUGCAGUUAAAAAGCUCGUAGUUGAAUUUCGGGAUUCAUCCGUUGGUCGGGCUUCACGGUCCGUACUGGUGUGAUGGGUUCCUACCUUCUGAAUAACCGGCAUGCCAUUAAUUUGGUGCGCCGGGGAAGCAGAACUAUUACCUUGAAAAAAUUAGAGUGCUUAAAGCAGGCAAGUGCCUGAAUAGGUUAGCAUGGAAUAAUAAAAUAGGACGGCAUGGUUCUAUUUUGUUGGUUUCUAGGAUCACCGUAAUGAUUAAUAGGGAUAGUUGGGGGCAUUAGUAUUCAAUUGUCAGAGGUGAAAUUCUUGGAUUUAUUGAAGACUAACUUCUGCGAAAGCAUUUGCCAAGGAUGUUUUCAUUAAUCAAGAACGAAAGUUAGGGGAUCGAAGACGAUCAGAUACCGUCGUAGUCUUAACCAUAAACUAUGCCGACUAGGGAUCGGACGAUGUUAAUUUUUUAAUGACUCGUUCGGCACCUUACGGGAAACCAAAGUGUUUGGGUUC
rnacentral:rRNA from 1 species